rnacentral:rRNA from 1 species
AACGCUGGCGGGAUGCUUUACACAUGCAAGUCGAACGGCAGCACGGACUUCGGUCUGUGGCGAGGGCGAACGGGCAGGCACGUAUCAACGUGCCUAGAAGCGGGGGAUAACUACGCGAAAGUUGCAUAAUACCGCAUACGCCCUUCGGGGAAAGCGGGGACCUUCGGGCCUCGCACUAUUAGAGCGGCCGAUAUCACCGGAUUAGCUGGUUGGUGGGGUAACGGCUCACCACAAGGAUCCGUAGCCGGUUUGAGAGGACGACCAGUCACACUGGGACUGAGACACGGCCCAGACUCCUACGGAGGCAGGGAAUUUUGGACAAUGGGGGAACCCGAUCCAGCCAUCCUUGGGCGUGUGCGAUGAAGGCCUUCGGGUUGUAAAGCACUUUUGGCAGGAAAGAAACGGCACGGGAUAAUACCUCGUGCAAUCGACGGUACCUGCAGAAUAAGCACCGGCUAACUAAUGCGCCAGCAGCCGCGGUAAUACGUAGGUGCAAGCGUUAAUCGGAAUGCUGGGCGCAGCGUGCGCAGGCGGUUCGGAAAGAAAGAUGAAAUCCCAGAGCUUAACUGGAACUGCAUUUAACUACCGAGCUUAGAGUGCAACAGAGGGAGGGAAUUCCCGCGUGUAGCAGUGAAAUGCGUAGAUAUGCGGAGGAACACCGAUGGCGAAGGCAGCCUCCUGGGAUAACACUGACGCUCAUGCACGAAAGUGAUAAACAGGAUUAGAUACCCGGUAGUCCACGCUCUGGAAACGAUGUCAACUAGUCAGCUGGGGGGCCUUCGGGCCUUGGUAGCGCAGCUAACGCGUGAAGUUGGACCGCCUGGGGAGUACUGGCUGCAAGAUUAAAACCAAAGGAAUUGACGGGGACCCGCACAAGCGGAUGAUGCAUUAAUUGAUGCAACGCGAAAAAACCUUACCUACCUUGACAUAUGUCUGGAAUCCUGAAGAGAUUUGGGAGUGCUCGCAAGAGAACCGGAACACAGGUGCUGCAUGGUCGUCAGCCGUGUCGAGAUGUUGGGUUAAGUCCUGCAACGAGCGCAACCCUUGUCAUUAGUUGCUACGAAAGGGCACUCUAAUGAGACUGCCGGUGACAAACCGAGGAAGGGGAUGACGCUGAGUCCUCAUGGCCCUUGCAGGUAGGGCUUGCCACGUCAUACAAUGGUCGGGACAGGGGGUCGCCAACCCGAGGGGGAGCUAAUCCCAGAAACCCGAUCGUAGUCCGGAUCGCAGUCUGCAACUCGACUGCGUGAAGUCGGAAUCGCUAGUAAUCGCGGAUCAGUACGGUCGCGGUAAUACGUUCCUGGUCUUGUACACACCGCCCGUCACACCACAAGGAGUGGCUUUACCAGAAGUGGUUACCUAACUGCAAGGAGGGCGAUUACCACGGUAGGAUUCAUGACUGUAAAGUCGUAACAGGUAA